CGCCAUCCCGCCACCAGUUCUUGCAAUGCACACUGUGAUUUAUGAACCGCUUCUUCCAGUAACUCAUUCAUUUAUUCAUUCAUUCAUUCACCAGGUCAACGGCAAAGGCCUUUAUCCUGCGGGAGCAGAAGCUGGAUGAGAAGACAAACAAGUAGGAUUUCCCAUUCCAAGUCUGCAAGGUGAGGACAUUCUACCUGAAAAUCUGGAAAGAGGCAGAGCAGAGAGAGGAAAGGGCCAGGACGGAGAUGGAAAACCAACAUGCUGCUUCCUAGCUGUGUGACUUCAGAGAAGGGCAUCCUUGCUGCUCUCCUGAAGACCCACCAGGAAGCAGGGUUCUCCUGCCAAAGAGCCACCCCCUCUGCCUGCCUUGCUGACAGCCGGCCUUCACCCAGGCAGAAGAUGAAUGGCAGGUGCGUAUCUGUUCAAUGGCAGAGCAACCUAGUGUUUGAGAAUGAAGGAAAAUGUGCCACUUCAGGCUCUUGUCACUCAGGAAGCUUCUGGAUUACCUGGAUCCCAGCGUACCCACCCUGUCCCUGCAGUCAGUCUGCCCACACUGUGAGGGUGUCACAGGGGAAACAGAGUCAGGAGGCCAAGGCUGGUUCUCCGGGUUCCUCAGGUCUCUGCUGGACGUCACCUCCUGAGAGGUUCCUUCCCAGAUCUUCUCCACGUGGAUGUGGACAGCCCCUGGUGCUCUCUCACACCAUAACGUGGGCUUCCUUCCUAACAUUGCUCUUCCAUUUGCAAUGCCAUGGUUAUUUGUGCUUGCUCGUUUGUCGUCUCUUUGUGUGUUAGACUCUAAGUCCCGUAAGAGCAAGAACUAGGUUCUUGUCUACCACUAUUCACCGCCCCGGUGCCCUCCAGUGCAGUUGGCACAAAGUAGGUGUUUAAUAAACAUUGACUAAUGAAUGAAUGAACUCACAUCUGGCUUUUGGAAAAGAAGAGAAAAAAAAGAAACAAAACACAAGCCUAAUAUACUCCCCCAGGGGACCACAGCAUCUGAGCAUCUACGAAGCUUUAGCAACUCUGUUCCUAACUGCUCACGCAUUUCUGCAGCCCCAGCUGCCAAAUCGGAACAAAUGGCUACAGAUCUCCUCUUGAACAAAGCUGAAGACAAACACUCCGGGCAUCAGCUGCCGGGCUGGCCUAUGUAUGAAGGGUUUGUUGGAAAGAGAGCUGUCCAGGGUACUCUGGGACCUGAGUUCCGCUCCUGGGACCUGAGUUCCGGUCCUGUCUGGUUCACAGCAUUGAAGGUGAGCUGAGCAAAGCAUGUACAUCUUGGGGUCUUAGUCUCUGCUGGUCAACCAGAGGACGCUGGACUGUAUAGUACUUAGUAUCAGAGCUUUUGAGCUCCAUUUCGUUUCCUUCUGUUUCCAUUUCUGCUCACUGGUUCAAAGCAUCAGGCUGAAAUCUCUCAGUUGUUGGAAGGCAGUACAGCUGCCCAGGGAGACGGUGAACUAAGCAGUCAGAUAAACUGGAGUCACACCGAAGCUGGGCAAGGCUCUUAAAC
ensembl:lncRNA